rnacentral:misc_RNA from 1 species
GUGAAUUCUCAAAUUGAGGCUGAAGCUUCGACUUCCCUUUCAAGGCAAAAGCUCCAUUUGAAGAAGUCAUGGGGAAUGCCUGUCUUAUUUCUGUCAUCAGUGGUUUUCGCACUUGGCCACACUGUGGUUGCUUACAGAACAAGCUGCAGAGCGCGGAGAAAGCUUUUGUUUCACCGAGUUGAUCCAGAAGCUGUGCUAUCUUGCAAAAGUGUUUUCUCUGGUUAUCAGAAGGUGCCUCGGUCUCCCACUCCAACUGCAGGAAGAACCCCAAAAAGUGACAGUGAAAUGAGGCGAAAACCAUUUGGAUCUGUUCAUGAUGAAGGGGAACUCCCAAUCAGAUUGCUUGCUGACAUAGAUAGCUUAUUCAUUGCAUGCCAAGGGCUUACUGUCCACUACAAGCUCUGCUUGCCUGGUUCACCCCCUCGUUCUUUAUCUUCCACUGUUUUUCUUGAACCCUCUCCUAGCUGUAGCUCACCAAAGAUUACAGCAGGAAGGCUUAAACUCGAGAGGUCGCCAUUCAAUGCGUUAUUGAAAACCCAGCAUAAUCUCCACAGGAGUUACAGUAAUCAAUUUCACGGCUCUUCCCUAUAUGCUCCAUUAUUGGACGUUUCUCCAACUUCUGCUGUGCUCUCCGAAGAAAUUCCUGUUUUGAACCUAGAUGAUGCGAUUGAGGAGAAUGAAAUGAGUAAUGUGAACUCUGGAUCUCCUGAGCAAGAUUUGGAGGAAAAUAGCCGGUUUGGUAUUGUUCUAAUUCAUGGCUUUGGGGGAGGAGUUUUCUCAUGGAGGCAUGUGAUGGGGGUUCUUGCUCGGCAGGUUGGUUGCACAGUUGCUGCUUUUGAUCGGCCUGGUUGGGGAUUAACUUCUCGGCCUCGCCGGAAGGAUUGGGAAGAUAAAGAAUUGCCAAAUCCAUAUAAGCUUGAAACUCAGGUUGACCUGCUUCUUGCUUUCUGUUCUGAGAUGGGGUUUUCUUCAGUGGUGCUUGUUGGUCAUGAUGAUGGAGGCUUGCUUGCUCUGAUGGCUGCGCGUAGGCUUCAAACAUCCGUGAAUUCUUUCAAUGUUACAAUAAAGGCAUUGGUAUUGCUAAAUGUCAGUUUGUCAAGA